rnacentral:rRNA from 1 species
GAUGAACGCUGGCGGCGUGCCUAAUACAUGCAAGUCGAGCGAACGGACGAGAAGCUUGCUUCUCUGAUGUUAGCGGCGGACGGGUGAGUAACACGUGGAUAACCUACCUAUAAGACUGGGAUAACUUCGGGAAACCGGAGCUAAUACCGGAUAAUAUUUUGAACCGCAUGGUUCAAAAGUGAAAGACGGUCUUGCGGUCACUUAUAGAUGGAUCCGCGCUGCAUUAGCUAGUUGGUAAGGUAACGGCUUACCAAGGCAACGAUGCAUAGCCGACCUGAGAGGGUGAUCGGCCACACUGGAACUGAGACACGGUCCAGACUCCUACGGGAGGCAGCAGUAGGGAAUCUUCCGCAAUGGGCGAAAGCCUGACGGAGCAACGCCGCGUGAGUGAUGAAGGUCUUCGGAUCGUAAAACUCUGUUAUUAGGAAAGAACAUAUGUGUAAGUAACUGUGCACAUCUUGACGGUACCUAAUCAGAAAGCCACGGCUAACUACGUG